UGACCCUUUUUAAAGCCGAGGGUCACCUAGCCAACUGACGUUGUUAGUGAACCGAUAUUUGUUCACAAUUGAUUUAGCCACCCGCGUUUUGCGUGUGGCUUUUUUUCG
rfam:Vibrio nigripulchritudo str. SFn1 chromosome, complete genome.